rnacentral:rRNA from 1 species
AGUGAAUAGAUACCCGGGUAGUCCACGCUGUAAACGAUGAGUGCUGGACGUUGGCGGGUUUACCUGCCGGUGUCGCAGCUAAACGCGUUAAGCACUCCGCCUGGGGAGUACGGCCGCAAGGUUAAAACUCAAAGGAAUUGACGGGGGCCCGCACAAGCGGUGGAGCAUGUGGUUUAAUUCGACGCAACGCGCAGAACCUUACCAGCCCUUGACAUGGGCGGACGGGGUCCAGAGAUGGACUCUUUCUCGCAAGAGACCGCUACACAGGUGCUGCAUGGCUGUCGUCAGCUCGUGUCGUGA